rnacentral:rRNA from 1 species
CCUACGGGAGGCAGCAGUGGGGGAUAUUGCACAAUGGGGGGAACCCUGAUGCAGCGACGCCGCGUGGGUGAAGAAGCGCCUCGGCGCGUAAAGCCCUGUCAGCAGGGAAGAAAAUGACGGUACCUGAAGAAGAAGCCCCGGCUAACUACGUGCCAGCAGCCGCGGUAAUACGUAGGGGGCAAGCGUUAUCCGGCUUUACUGGGUGUAAAGGGGGCGCAGACGGCGAUGCAAGCCAGGAGUGAAAGCCCGGGGCCCAACCCCGGGACUGCUCUUGGAACGGCGUGGAGGGAGGGAAGGAGGGGCAGGCGGAAUUCCUGGGGUCGCGGUGAAAUGCGUAGAUAUCAGGAGGAACACCGGUGGCGAAGGCGGCCUGCUGGACUGCAACUGACGUUGAGGCCCGAAAGCGUGGGGAGCAAACAGGAUUAGAUACCCUAGUAGUC